UUAACUGGGGUAGUGAGUAUAUAUAAUUUGUAAUAAUUUAUACAAUUAGUGUAUUAAUGAUCUUUUAUAUAAGAUUUAAAUGAAUAAGUUACUUUAGGGAUAACAGCACAAUAAUUUUGGAGAGUUCUUAUUUAUAAAUUUGAUUGUGACCUCGAUGUUGAAUUAAAAUAUCUCUAUAAGGGAAAAGGUAUAGGAGUGGGUUUGUUCAACCUUUAAAAUUUUACAUGAUCAGAGUUCAGACCGGA
rnacentral:rRNA from 1 species